rnacentral:lncRNA from 1 species
UCGUUACUUGUUGUUGGGUGUUAGCGAGAUUAAGCGCAGUAGUUAGUUCCAUAUUCAACAGGCCCGGCCCUACUCGCCAUGCCAUACAGCUCGACAAAGUAUCAAGUGGCUUCUGCCGUCAGGAAACAAAGCAGUGAGAUUAGAGUUGGGUUACUGAAGCAAAGCAUGUGAGUUUAGAGUAGAGAGUUAGAGAUAGCGGUGCCUAGCUGAGUUCAACAAGAGGUUGUGCGAAAGAACUCCCUUUAGCCGAAAACUGGAACAAGUAAACAAUCAAAGUAAUAGGUUUUGAGGUUACCUUAUUCUAUUGUAAGAACGCUGCUAUCUAUAUGAUUUUCCGUAUUGGCAAGGGAGUCGUAGAAACUUAUCUAACACGGUGCCUAUGCCUCAGAGUCCGGAAGAAGCAUUCAGGUUACAUGAAACCAUUAAGGGUACACUCAAUUCCAUUCUUUCUUUUGCCAAAACAUUUGAACAAGCAGGGGAACAGAUUUGUUUUAGAGUUAAGUAACCUGUUUAGAAGGUUGUUACUCCAUUGUAUCAUAUGCUGGAUAGAAGCAAGCUUAGGUGAACUAAACUCCUAAUGCCGGGUGGAUCAAAAGCCAUAGCUAGCUUGUUUGUGCUAACGCUUUGGCAAGGAAACGAAGCAAUGUUCUGGUUGGUUACAAUCUUCUUUCUAUAUGUGUUUUCUAGUCUUAGUUCAAUUCAAGUAAACAAGCAAAUCUAUUCAAUAAGCCUAUAAGCACAGGGCAAUAAAAGAAGUCAGUACUUUAGUCUAGCCUUCAAUGUGCCUCAACUCAAUUCGGCGGUAUAGCUUAGAGUUUUGUAUAGCUUAGAGUUGUUUUGUUCCUAUCUUUUAGUUGCAAGAGAGAUUCUAUCUAAUAUUCAAUAAGUAAGGAGUUGUGCAAACUUCAUCUUGUUGUUCGGGCACCGCUAUCACUCCCAGAGAUCAUAGUUCACCCCUUAUUAAGGACAGAAACGGAGAUCAUAGUUCACCCCUUAUUAAAGUCAAGACAGAAACAUAGAUCAUAGCCCCUUUUGCUUACGUGAGUUUGGUAGAACCAAGGCCUCCAGCCUCCAGAUGCCCACCAUGAUUGAAGAAUGCAUAAUAGUCCCAGUACGCAGUGAUAUACCAUAUAAUAGAAGCACCUAAGUGAUAUACCAUAUAAUAGAAGCACCUAUAUCCAAUAUAUAUAUAACUAUAGAGAUCUAAAUGGAGAUGUUUAUCUUAUUCUAUUUUCAUUAAUGAGAAUCAUUCUCUUUUUUUUCAUUAAUUAGAAUCACACACAACCCAUGGGCACCUCUUUCUAUACGGAUCUGAUUGACAACCCAAUCCGUAGCAAGGAAAGACUCUGUUAAUUCACAAACUAGAGGAGUAGCCGACAGGACGGAGGCAGCUACCCGACUCGUA